GACAGAGGGGGCAAGCGUUGCUCGGAAUUACUGGGCGUAAAGGGUGCGUAGGCGGUCGCGCAAGUCGGAUGUGAAAUCUCAGGGCUCAACCCUGAAACUGCAUUCGAUACUGCGUGGCUAGAGUGCUGGAGAGGAGACUGGAAUUUACGGUGUAGCAGUGAAAUGCGUAGAUAUCGUAAGGAAGACCAGUGGCGAAGGCGAGUCUCUGGACAGCAACUGACGCUGAGGCACGAAGGCCAGGGGAGCAAACGGG
rnacentral:rRNA from 1 species